rnacentral:rRNA from 1 species
AUUGAACGCUGGCGGCAGGCUUAACACAUGCAAGUCGAACGAGUGGCGGACGGGUGAGUAAUGCUUGGGAAUCUAGCUUUUGGCGGGGGAUAACUACGGGAAACUGUAGCUAAUACCGCGUACCAUAGGAUGAGCCCAUAUGGGAUUAGCUAGUAGGUGGGGUAAAGGCUCACCAGGGCGACGAGCCCUAGCUGUGCUGAGAGGAUGAUCAGCCACACGGGAACUGAGACACGGCCCAGACUCCGACGGGAGGCAGCAGUGAGGAAUAUUGCGCAAUGGGGGAAACCUGAAGCAGCCAUGCCGCGGGAAUGAAGAAGGCCUUCGGGUUGUAAAGUUCUUUCGGUAGCGAGGCGUUAACUACAGAAGAAGCACCGGCUAACUCCGUGCCAGCAGCCGCGGUAAUAC